UACUCUCGUGGUGAAUCAUCGAAUCUUUGAACGCACUUUGCACCUCGUGGCUCAUGUCACAAGGUAUACUUGUUUGAGUAUCCACAACAUCCUCACUACACCCUCGGGUUGCGUAGUGGUUUUGAGAUUCGAUGAGCGGCAACAGGCACACCUUGUGUGUGUGUGUGUUGCGCGAGUCGUUUCUUUAAAUGGAGGCCGACCACAACGUGUCUCAGCGGAGAUAUGGUUAUUGGGAUAACAUCCUAACAAUAGCCAUAGGCUUUGACAUGGAAGGCCAUCUUGCAUUGGCAGAAAUAUGUAUACGCAUGUUUCUGUUGGUACAUACGGAGCGCGCAGGGUGGUAACACACUCUGUGUCUUUCGUUUUGAAAUGGAUCUCAAAUCAAGUAGGGAUACCCGCUGAACUUAAGCAUAUCAAUAAGCGGAGG
rnacentral:rRNA from 1 species